rnacentral:tRNA from 1 species
GAGAAUGUAGCUUAAUAGGUAGAGUGAUAGCUUGUCGAGCUAUCGGUUGCGGGUUCAAAUCCCGUCUUUCUCG